UGUCAGGCUCGGCAGGGACACG
rnacentral:miRNA from 1 species